GACGAACCGUGCGAACGUUGUUCGGAUUCAUUGGGCGUAAAGGGUGCGUAGGCGGCGCGGUAAGUCGGGUGUGAAAUCUCGGAGCUUAACUCCGAAACUGCAUUCGAUACUGCCGUGCUUGAGGACUGGAGAGGAGACUGGAAUUUACGGUGUAGCGGUGAAAUGCGUAGAUAUCGUAAGGAAGACCAGUGGCGAAGGCGGGUCUCUGGACAGUUCCUGACGCUGAGGCACGAAAGCGUGGGGAGCGAACAGG
rnacentral:rRNA from 1 species